GCGGUGGAGCUUAGUGAGCACUUGCGGCGGCUUGAUAGAUGACUGAGAGAACUCAUGUUGAAGGAGCUUGAGUGGUGCAGUGGGAGUUCGUCCGUCGGAAGAAUUCAGUCAGUACUGUGGAAAUCCGGCUGUUGGAGAAGUCCGGAGAGAUACCAUAUGCAGUCGAAAGUCAGAGGAGUCCUGGGAGGGUCAAUCCUGUUAAGAACUUCGACUGAGGGUAUUUUAUACCCAACACCAGUCCCCCUACUUUCGAGUUCGAAUUUCGAAUGAAGGAAGUA
rnacentral:lncRNA from 1 species